UUGAUCUCAACGCCAAACGACUUACCAGGAGCCUUACAUACUCUCAAAGGGAAGCGCAAGUGGGACAACAAUGAAGACAAUAUCAAUCCGAUUAAUAAGCAAGUAUGGCAAGAAUAUGAACGGGCCGAACAGUUUAUUCAACCAAGGUACGAGGCACAGACUAACCUCGAGUCAACUGGGGGUAGCCAAAGUCAGAGAGGAAUUUCACCUUGCCCAAAUUGCGGUAAAAUGCAUAGGAGUGUUUGUCGAGCUGGGACUAACGGUUGUUACAAUUGUGGUCAAAAGGGACACUACUCCACGCAAUGCCCCAACAGACAACGAGGUUCAGCAAUUGGGAACUAGAAAACAAGAUGAAGGAGAAAUACCCCGAACUGUUUUAACAAAGAUAUGCAAAUUUCGGGACGAAAUUUUUGUUAAGAGGGGUAGUAUGUAGUAGCCCGCUCUUUUAUUUAUAAUUAAAUCUAGUAAAUGCAAAUUAUUAUAAAUGAAUCCAGUUUAUGGUCCUGAUUUUUUUAAUAUCAGAAACGGAGUUAUUAUUUUAGCGUUAUACUUUUAUAACGUAUGAGAAAAACGCGACGAUGAUUAUUGAGCCAUUCAAUAAUUAUUAUUUUCAAGUUAUAACUGACUUAGCAAAGUCAUGUUAUUUAUUAAUCGAGAAACGGAAGCAGUUAUAUUUUAUUAAUGCUACUAGAAGUCGAGGAUUUAUUUCCGACAGCAAAGCAGAUUAAAUCUACGGAUUUAAUUUAAGUUAUAUUAUAGUUUAUCAAGUUAGCAGGCAAGGAAAAAAAUAUCAAACAGAUACAAUAACGGAUGAUAGAGAAUAGAAGCCAGUAUUUUAUUACAGUUCACGAAUACAGUCUACUUCCCAGCUUGGGGAAAAUUGUAUAGUAUUUUACAAGGUUGAAUUUACCACCAUUUGCUUCCCCACCACUACACCUACUCUUACACUCCACCAACUUCUCCAUUACAUUUGUUUUUCUCCACCAAACAUUCCACUUACUUCAUUCCUUAUGUCAUACACCAAGCACCAGAAAGGGAGAUGAAGUUCCUGCUGCCAACUGCCAAGUAUCGAGAGGUAAGUCUUGGCCUAAGUUUUCUUCAUUCCAUACUUGGUUCUUUCUGCAUUUGUUGAGAAAACAAUAUUUGCAAUUUCAGUUCCUUUCCCCAUUUAAUUCAUAGCAACAGACAACCACCGACACCAAGCAUUUCAGACUUAUACAAAGAAGAAGAGGAAGAUAGAACAAAGACUUAGCUUUAAGAUAUAGUGCCGGCUGCCGGUUCGGACGAACCAAGGGGACGGCGAACCCCUGCUGCCGUGACGAACACCGAGAACAAAAACGGCGAACUAUCGAUUAUCUCGUCUGCAUCAGAUCAAUGACAGCAAGUGAGACCGGUGGUCGACGGCGUCUGACUCGCCGGAGAUGGAGGAAGGCAGAGGAUGAGGCUGAGACGCCGAUUUAAGCGCGAAGUUAGGACUUUCACUCUGUUUGUUUUGGAGACCACCUAUGCAUCGUGUGUGUGAGACUCAGAGAGGAGAGGAACUUCCUCUGGCCGGGUUACAAAAUCGGGACGGCGGAAUCAGGCGAGAAAGCUCGCCUCGAUACUUCACAAUUCGUGAAAUCGAGAGAGAACAAGAGAUCUCUUUGAGGGUUCUGCUCAGUGAAACCAAGAGGAAAGAAGACGCCGGACGGAACUGGCGGAAGCUGAACGACGCCGGACCUAAGCUCGGCGGCAGCCGACGCCGGUUGGAGCAUAGAAGGCGACUGAAGCUCGACUGAUGUUGAGAGAGACCGACUGAUUCUACGGAUUCCGAACGAAGGAGCAGCAGCGAUCGACGACGGCGCUCUCCCAGACGACGACCGCUGACCGGUACCGAGCCCGAGCAGCAGCAACUCCAGUCGGCGAUGGCUCCCAAACGACAGCAGCCCGGCGGAUUUCAGGCGAAGAUGCGGCCGCAGCAGCGACCUGGUAUUUGACGAUUAGGGCUCGCCCUUCCACUCUCUUCUUCCCGAACACGGAUUUGAGGCCGAGACACCAAGUUUGGAGGGGGGACGACAACUAGCGGUCGCCGGACUUACAGAAACGGCGGAGGAUUCGAUCUCAGGGAAAGCUAGGGCUCCUCCUCUCAGUCGAGUUUGAGAGGUAAAUCGAGAGAGAGGAGAUGAGGGAGCAGACCGACGUCGGGGUUCUGAGCAACGCUGGCCUCGCCGGCGGCUGGAAUGGUCAGAGUACGGAGCGGCGACGGCAGAUCUGCGGGAGACAGAUCGGGUGAGAAAUUGAGAGAGGGAAGUAGAUGGAGAGAGAGAGAAAUGGACCAGGGGCGAUGUCCUCGGCUGGCCGUCGUUCUCGCCGGAGCCGUUCGCGGCGGAGCUCGCGUAGAGCGGGCGAGAGAGAGAGAGAGGUCUUGAGCGGCGCUGGCGAGAUUUGGGAAGAGAGGCUGCUGAUUUGGGUGGAGGAAUUGAGGAACAGAAGCCGUGAAAA